rnacentral:rRNA from 1 species
UGGGGAAUUUUGGACAAUGGGCGAAAGCCUGAUCCAGCAAUGCCGCGUGUGUGAAGAAGGCCUUCGGGUUGUAAAGCACUUUUGUCCGGAAAGAAAUCCUUGGCUCUAAUACAGUCGGGGGAUGACGGUACCGGAAGAAUAAGCACCGGCUAACUACGUGCCAGCAGCCGCGGUAAUACGUAGGGUGCAAGCGUUAAUCGGAAUUACUGGGCGUAAAGCGUGCGCAGGCGGUUUGCUAAGACCGAUGUGAAAUCCCCGGGCUCAACCUGGGAACUGCAUUGGUGACUGGCAGGCUAGAGUAUGGCAGAGGGGGGUAGAAUUCCACGUGUAGCAGUGAAAUGCGCAGAGAUGUGGAGGAAUACCGAUGGCGAAGGCAGCCCCCUGGGCCAAUACUGACGCUCAUGCACGAAAGCGUGGGGAGCAAACAGGAUUAGAUACCCUGGCAGUCCACGCCCUAAACGAUGUCAACUAGUUGUUGGGGAUUCAUUUCCUUAGUAACGUAGCUAACGCGUGAAGUUGACCGCCUGGGGAGUACGGUCGCAAGAUUAAAACUCAAAUGAAUUGACGGGGUCAUAGCUGUUUCCU